rnacentral:lncRNA from 1 species
CUCUUCUCCCAUGAGUUCCCUUCGUCUUCUCCGACCACCUUCUAACAUGAAUCCAUGGUGGUAUCACCACCCACCAGCCUCCUUUGGCCAUCUCCGGCCUUGUUCCUGCAAGCUAUGUCUAUUUCGAGUCUGGCUCCGAGUCUUCCUUCUUAGAUCCAGGCCUUUCUACCAUUUGGGUUCCUCUGAAAACCUUAGCUUUUUAGAUUUUUCUGAUCUAUUUAGAUAUGUACCAGAUCUAAG